ACGGGAGGCAGCAGUGGGGAAUAUUGCACAAUGGGCGCAAGCCUGAUGCAGCGAUGCCGCGUGAGGGAAGAAGGUUUUCGGAUUGUAAACCUCUGUCAACAGGGACGAAAAUGACGGUACCUGUGAAGGAAGCUCCGGCUAACUACGUGCCAGCAGCCGCGGUAAUACGUAUGGAGCAAGCGUUAUCCGGAUUUACUGGGUGUAAAGGGAGCGUAGACGGCAAAGCAAGUCUGAAGUGAAAUCCCGGGGCUCAACCCCGGAACUGCUUUGGAAACUGUUUAGCUAGAGUGCAGGAGAGGUAAGCGGAAUUCCUAGUGUAGCGGUGAAAUGCGUAGAUAUUAGGAGGAACACCAGUGGCGAAGGCGGCUUACUGGACUGUAACUGACGUUGAGGCUCGAAAGCGUGGGGAGCAAACAGGAUUAGAUACCCUGGUA
rnacentral:rRNA from 1 species